AGCUCCAAUAGCGUGUGUUAAAGUUGUUGCAGUUAAAAGCUCGUAGUUGGACUUCUGAAGGCAGCAGUCGGGCCCCGCCCACUUCUGACUUCAUCCUUCUGUUAACUGAUCUUGGCCUUCAUUGGCUGGUUCAGGGCUCAGAUUCUUUACCAUGAGGAAAAUAGAGUGUUUCAGGCAGGCUCGCGCCGGAAUACGUUAGCAUGGAAUAUAAUAUGACUUCUCGCUUUUGGUUGAGUGCGAAGUAAUGGUUAAUAGGGAUAGUUGGGGCAUUGGUAUUCCAUUGUCAGAGGUGAAAUUCUUUGAUUUAUGGAAGACUAACUAAGGCGAAAGCAUUUGCCAGGGAUGUUU
rnacentral:rRNA from 1 species